rnacentral:rRNA from 1 species
UACGUAAGGGGCAAGCGUUGUCCGGAAUUAUUGGGCGUAAAGCGCGCGCAGGCGGCCGUUUAAGUCUGAUGUUUAAGCCCGGGGCUCAACCCCGGAUCGCAUUGGAAACUGGGUGGCUGGAGUGCAGAAGAGGAGAGUGGAAUUCCACGUGUAGCGGUGAAAUGCGUAGAGAUGUGGAGGAACACCAGUGGCGAAGGCGACUCUCUGGGCUGUAACUGACGCUGAGGAGCGAAAGCCAGGGGAGCAAACGGG